UACGUAGGGUGCGAGCGUUGCCCGGAUUUAUUGGGCGUAAAGGGCGCGUAGGCGGCCACGCACGUCCGUUGUGAAAUCGCCCCGGCUCAACUGGGCGGGGUCGGCGGAUACGGCGUGGCUGGAGCAAGCUAGGGGGCAAUGGAAUUCCCGGUGUAGUGGUGGAAUGCGUAGAUAUCGGGAGGAACACCAGUGGCGAAGGCGGUUGCCUGGAGCUUUGCUGACGCUGAGGCGCGAAAGCGUGGGGAGCGAUCCGG
rnacentral:rRNA from 1 species